rnacentral:rRNA from 1 species
UAGGUGGAUUAGUGGCGCACGGGUGAGUAAUAUAUAGAUAACGUGCCUCUUAGUCUGGGAUAGCCAUUGGAAACGAUGAUUAAUACUAGAUACUCCUUCUCUAUCAAAUUAGAGUCGGGAAAGUUUUUCGCUAAGAGAUCGGUCUAUAUCCCAUCAGCUAGUUGGUAGUGUAAGAGACUACCAAGGCAAUGACGGGUAGCGGGUUUGAGAGGAUGAUCCGCCACACUGGUACUGAGACACGGACCAGACUCCUACGGGAGGCAGCAGUGAGGAAUAUUGCACAAUGGAGGAAACUCUGAUGCAGCAACGCCGCGUGGAGGAUGACGCAUUUCGGUGUGUAAACUCCUUUUAUAUGUCAAGAAAAUGACGGUAGCAUAUGAAUAAGCACCGGCUAACUCCGUGCCAGCAGCCGCGGUAAUACGGAGGGUGCAAGCGUUAUUCGGAAUCACUGGGCGUAAAGGACGCGUAGGCGGGAUGCCAAGUCUGAUGUGAAAUCCUAUGGCUUAACCAUAGAACUGCAUUGGAAACUGGUAACCUAGAGUAUGGGAGGGGGAGAUGGAAUUAGUGGUGUAGGGGUAAAAUCCGUAGAUAUCACUAGGAAUCCCGAAAGCGAAGGCGAUCUCCUGGAACAAUACUGACGCUAAGGCGUGAAAGCGUGGGGAGCAAACGGGAUUAGAUACCCCGGUAGUCCACGCCCUAAA